rnacentral:rRNA from 1 species
UACGUAGGGGGCAAGCGUUGUCCGGAAUCAUUGGGCGUAAAGCGCGUGUAGGCGGCCAGAAAAGUCCGCUGUGAAAACUCGAGGCUCAACUUCGAGCUGUCGGUGGAAACUUUCUGGCUAGAGUCCGGAAGAGGAGGAAUGGAAUUCCUGGUGUAGCGGUGAAAAUGCGCAGAUAUCAGGAAGAACACCCGUGGCGAAGGCGGUUCUCUGGGACGGUACUGACGCUGAGACGCGAAAGCGUGGGGAGCGAACAGG